AGAGUUGAUCCUGGCUCAGGAUGAACGCUGGCGGCGUGCCCUAACACAUGCAAGUCGAACGAAGCACUUCGAUCGGAGAUUCGUCAAAGAUUGGAUUUGACUUAGUGGCGGACGGGUGAGUAAUGUAUGAGCAACCUGCCUUUCAGAGGGGGACAACAGUUGGAAACGACUGCUAAUACCGCAUAAUGUAAUUUUAAGGGCAUCCUUGGAAUACCAAAGGAGCAAUCCGCUGAAAGAUGGGCUCAUAUCUGAUUAGUUAGUUGGCAGGGUAACGGCCUACCAAGACUGCGAUCAGUAGCCGGACUGAGAGGUUGAACGGCCACAUUGGGACUGAGAUACGGCCCAGACUCCUACGGGAGGCAGCAGGUGGGGAAUAUUGGGCAAUGGGCGAAAGCCUGAACCCCAGCAACGCCGCGUGAAGGAAGAAGGUCUUCGGAUUGUAACUUCUUUUAUGAGGGACGAAGGACGUGACGGUACCUCAUGAAUAAGCCACGGCUAACUACGUGCCAGCAGCUGC
rnacentral:rRNA from 1 species